UUUUUAUUUUUUUUAUAACGAUUUGUUAAUAUUCAUGGCCCGAAGGCUUACAAGGAUAGGGCCUGAGGGCUUACAAAGACAAGGCCCUAAGGCUAGAAAUACUACUGUUGCUACCACUUAAGCGUCCACAUCGCCACCUUACUACUCGAGCAAUACUGCUACAUAGGGACUUGCUUUCGCUGAAGAACACCAGAUGACCACAUUAUGUGGUUACUCAUUAUGGGAGCAUGGGCCUCCUAAUCACGAACUAGGCCCGAAGGUUUUAACCCACUUAAGAAUUACAUAAAAAAUUCCCUCGAGC
rnacentral:lncRNA from 1 species